rnacentral:lncRNA from 1 species
AAACCAUAGCUCCCCCAAACAUUAGGAGCAGCCUUACCCUUGGCAGUAGUGAAUUUUCAACUCUCCCCAGUUUUACUUUCCACCACAUUUCCUGGGGAUGUACUACGGGUGCAUAGAUAAUUUAUCCUUUCUCAAAUCUCAUUAUUUUUUGCUUUGACCUACUUAAUCUCUCUAUAAUUAAUUCAAAAGCGAAUGACCAGCUUGUUCUGGUAAAAGAUCCAA